UCUCUCGGAUUGACGGUAGGUGGAGAAGAAGCACCGGCCAACUACGUGCCAGCAGCUGCGGUAAUACGUAGGGUGCGAGCGUUGUCCGGAAUUACUGGGCGUAAAGAGCUCGUAGGUGGUUUGUCGCGUUGUUCGUGAAAUCUCACGGCUUAACUGUGAGCGUGCGGGCGAUACGGGCAGACUAGAGUACUGCAGGGGAGACUGGAAUUCCUGGUGUAGCGGUGGAAUGCGCAGAUAUCAGGAGGAACACCGGUGGCGAAGGCGGGUCUCUGGGCAGUAACUGACGCUGAGGAGCGAAAGCGUGGGGAGCGAACAGGAUUAGAUACCCUGGUAGUCCACGCCGUAAACGGUGGGUACUAGGUGUGGGUUUCCUUCCUU
rnacentral:rRNA from 1 species